CCUACGGGAGGCAGCAGUGAGGAAUAUUGGUCAAUGGACGAGAGUCUGAACCAGCCAAGUAGCGUGAAGGAUGACUGCCCUAUGGGUUGUAAACUUCUUUUAUAUGGGAAUAAAAUGUUCCACGUGUGGGAUUCUGUAUGUACCAUAUGAAUAAGGAUCGGCUAACUCCGUGCCAGCAGCCGCGGUAAUACGGAGGAUCCGAGCGUUAUCCGGAUUUAUUGGGUUUAAAGGGAGCGUAGGUGGAUUGUUAAGUCAGUUGUGAAAGUUUGCGGCUCAACCGUAAAAUUGCAGUUGAAACUGGCAGUCUUGAGUACAGGAGAGGUGGGCGGAAUGCGUGGUGUAGCGGUGAAAUGCUUAGAUAUCACGAAGAACUCCGAUUGCGAAGGCAGCUCACUGGACUGCAACUGACACUGAGGCACGAAAGUGUGGGUAUCAAACAGGAUUAGAUACCCUAGUAGUC
rnacentral:rRNA from 1 species